rnacentral:rRNA from 1 species
UACGGAGGGGGCUAGCGUUGUUCGGAAUUACUGGGCGUAAAGCGCACGUAGGCGGCUUUGUAAGUUAGAGGUGAAAGCCCAGGGCUUAACCCUGGAAUUGCCUUUAAGACUGCAUCGCUAGAAUUGUGGAGAGGUAAGUGGAAUUCCGAGUGUAGAGGUGAAAUUCGUAGAUAUUCGGAAGAACACCAGUGGCGAAGGCGACUUACUGGACACAUAUUGACGCUGAGGUGCGAAAGCGUGGGAGCAAACAGG